ACCGUCUCUAUCAAGGGGUGAGUGACUGUUCGAGGAUCGACAAGUGAGGGCAGUUCUGCUGACACCCAUCAACACAUUCAUAGCACCACCCAAUUAUUUUUAUUGGGCUAAAGGGUGCAAUUUUUGGAGCC